GAUGAAGAACGUAGCGAAAUGCGAUAAGUAAUGUGAAUUGCAGAAUUCAGUGAAUCAUCGAGUCUUUGAACGCACAUUGCGCCCCCUGGUAUUCCGGGGGGCAUGCCUGUCCGAGCGUCAUUGCUGCCCUCAAGCACGGCUUGUGUGUUGGGCCGUCGUCCCCCUCCUAGGGGACGGGCCCGAAAGGCAGCGGCGGCACCGCGUCCGGUCCUCGAGCGUAUGGGGCUUCGUCACCCGCUCCGUAGGCCCGGCCGGCGCUUGCCGACGACCAUCAAUCUCUUUCUCCAGGUUGACCUCGGAUCAGGUAGGGAUACCCGCUGAACUUAAGCAUAUCAAUAAGCGGAGG
rnacentral:misc_RNA from 1 species